AUAAUAAUAAUAAUAAUAAUAAUAAUAAAAAUAUGGGACGGCUGACCAAAUGAAAAAGAGGGAGAGAAAAUGCUCAUGAUUUUUUUUUAUAAAAAAGGCCCCAAUAGAUUGCUGACAUGUGUCCAAGGAAAAGAAGAAAAAAAUAAACUAAAUUUCCUCUUCUUCCUCACAUGCUCGUGACAGCAACAACAUAGUAGCCUCUCUUUCUUUCUUUUCAAACUUAAACAUUAAAAAACUUAACCAAUCAAAAUCAUGGAUAUCCAGAAAAUAACAAAAAAAUCAAACAAUCUUACAUCCCUACAACAACAACAACGGUGGUUGAUGUGAAGUUCAUCGGUGGUUGGAGGUGGUGAGAGAAAUGGCAGUGUCGUAGGAGAGGGUGUGUCGGCCGUGCGGACUGGAUUCUCGUCGGAACUGGUGCAACGGCGGUCGGAAAAGCAAGCAGUGGUGGUUGAUGACACAUUUCCGGUUAGUGGCGGUGAUUUCGGUUUCAAAGCUGCUCGAAUCUACCUUCUUCUUCUUCCUCUAUUUCAGCUCACAAGUGCUCUUUUUCUUUGGAUUUUUUUGCAGGUGUGAUGUUGUUGAUGAAUGUUGUGUUGUUUGUUAUAGGUUGUUGUUGUUGAACAUAUGAAGGAGGUAGUUGGAGUUGAAACAAAAAUAUGGUGAAGUUAAUGUUAUGUAGGUUAGUAUGUUGUGUGGGUGUGUUGCUGUUGUUGUUGUGUUGAGUGGAAGAAGAAGAGUUGAUGAUGGUGUUUGAGGGGCGCGUGUGGUGGUAGAUUGGAGGGAAGUUUGUUGUUGAAAGGUGGUCACUUGAAAGAGAGAAGAAACUUAUGUUGUUGUUUUACAUGGAGAGAGUAUAGGAAUAUCAUGUUUGAAAAAAAGAAGAAAAAAGGUAUCUUGGUACUAUAUGGAGUGAACCACGUCAAAAUGAAGAUCACCCUCUCUCAAACAAUUCUUUCCCCCUCUUCCUUUUUUUUAUCAAUUUUCAUUUUUAUUGUUUUUUAUGUGAGUACUGAGCAUGGAUCUCCUUUUAUUUAUUUUUAAUGUUAAUGGAAUAGUAUAUAUGGUAUGGUUUCUUUAGGGCUUGCAAUGUGAUAAAAAUUUCAAAAUGUCAUUAGAUAUUUAUUUUAGAGACAAAAUGAUUUAAAUCAAAUACCUUAAAAUAAUUAUAAUUAAAUAGAAAUAAAAAA
rnacentral:lncRNA from 1 species